GACGAACGCUGGCGGCGUGCCUAAUACAUGCAAGUAGAACGCUGAAGCGAGGAGCUUGCUCUUCUUGGAUGAGUUACGAACGGGUGAGUAACGCGUAGGUAACCUGCCUUGUAGCGGGGGAUAACUAUUGGAAACGAUAGCUAAUACCGCAUAACAAUGGAUGACACAUGUCAUUUAUUUGAAAGGGGCAAUUGCUCCACUACAAGAUGGACCUGCGUUGUAUUAGCUAGUAGGUGAGGUAAUGGCUCACCUAGGCGACGAUACAUAGCCGACCUGAGAGGGUGAUCGGCCACACUGGGACUGAGACACGGCCCAGACUCCUACGGGAGGCAGCAGUAGGGAAUCUUCGGCAAUGGGGGCAACCCUGACCGAGCAACGCCGCGUGAGUGAAGAAGGUUUUCGGAUCGUAAAGCUCUGUUGUAAGUCAAGAACGGGUGUGAGAGUGGAAAGUUCACACUGUGACGGUAGCUUACCAGAAAGAGACGGCUAACUACGUG
rnacentral:rRNA from 1 species